rnacentral:lncRNA from 1 species
GAUAUGUAUCGACAAAGGGUUAUGGGACAAGUUUGUUUUCAAAACUGGAUAGCCUACAAAUACAAUUAGCCAUGACACAUUAAUUUCAUAAUCAAAGUGUGCUGACUUCCAGCAUAGCAAAUCAACCAGAUAACACCAAGCAGCGCAUUUGCAUUGAAUUAAACACUGAAGGUUUGAAUUUUCACGUGCACUGAGGAGGUGUUCUGUGAGCUGUGUAGGGAAAGGAAUACUUCUGCUUUCCAGCCACCACCGUCAGCUGAGCCAUCUUGCACCCCUCCUCGCUCAGAGAUGUUGCUUGAGGCUGAAGUCAGCCAGCUCAGCUCACUGAGCCAAUGGAACUGGAGCUCCUUUCUCACUGUCUUCAUCCCUGGGACUGGUGCUCAUCCUGGCAGGCUUGCCCUGACGUUGGACUUUCUUACCUCCUGUGUGCAGUACCUCUGAGCUGAACUGGUGACUAGGGGGGACAGGAGAGCAGGGAAGGAGAAGCUCAUGGUUUCCUGCUGCAGCCUGGGCUCAGAGGAAGUCAUUGUUUCCUGCAGCUCGGGUAAGGCAGCGGUACGACCCAGCUGCAUAACUGCUCUGAGAAACAGAGAUCUAUUUAGAUAAGCCAAAAGCUGGGGAUGACCGAGCAGAGAGCAGCACUGAGCAUGGCUGGAAAGAGCAACGCCAGCCCCACUGCCGCAGCAGGAGCCUCCAAUCUGCCAUGGCUUUGAGGUGGUGUUUAUGGGAUGCUGUCAUGAUGGAUGAUCCCACCAUCGCCCUGCAAGAACGUGGGGUAUCCAGAUCAGCCCCAUGUCUGCAGGAUCUUCUCUUUCCAACCAGCAACAACGACAGAAGGAAGCAGAGAGUGUCCAGACCUCUCAGACAAGCAGUGACUCUGUGAUCUACAUCAGUUUGACUAGAUGUAAUGAAAGAAGAGAAGAGAACUCAGCAGAAUGCGGUACAACAGAGGCAAGGCAGCAAUGCAGGACGUGUGGCUGCAGGUAAUGCGGGCACCCCAAAGUGGGCAGAAGGAGAAAUGAAGGCAAACCCCUCAGUAAGUCCAAUCCUGCACGGAUGUACCAGAGCUGUGCUGGGGGAACUGCAGGGAAAGUUCUGCUCCAGGUGGGACCUGGGGAGUCAAUCUGUGCUGAGGGAAUAAAGUGCUUUUCUCGGAUGUACUCCUCUGCAUCUUCUGUUUCUCUUUAAGACGACCCCGAGAUGUGCGACGUUCCCUUUCAGAGAGAUAAAGCACUCCACCUGAAGCAAACUCCAGAUGUGGCUGCAGCAUCAUUUUGGGUAUUGACUUCAUUCUAUCGCUUUGCAACUGCAGCAGCACUCCUUCUUAAGGCUUUCAGGUAUCCCAGGGUUUUCAGAAAGCAGUUACAUGUUGUUAAUGUCAGACAUCUCCCCAUCCAUCCACUCACUUGGAGCAGUUUGUUUGGAGAACCAAUUUUCUGUUCCACAACGAUGCAUCCCUUGCAUC